CCUACGGGAGGCAGCAGUAGGGAAUAUUGCUCAAUGGGGGAAACCCUGAAGCAGCAACGCCGCGUGGAGGAUGAAGGUUUUAGGAUUGUAAACUCCUUUUUUUAGAGAAGAUAAUGACGGUAUCUCACGAAUAAGCACCGGGUAACUGCGGGCCACAAGCCGCGGGAAUACGGAGGGUGCAAGCGUUACUCGGAAUCACUGGGCGUAAAGAGUGCGUAGGCGGGAUUGUAAGUCAGAUGUGAAAUCCUCUAGCUUAACUACAGAACUGCAUUUGAAACUGUGAUUCUAGAGUGUGGGAGAGGUAGGUGGAAUGCGUGGUGUAGGGGUAAAAUCCGUAGAUAUCAAGAGGAAUACUCAUUGCGAAGGCGACCUACUGGAACAUUACUGACGCUCAUGCACGAAAGCGUGGGGAGCAAACAGGAUUAGAUACCCGAGUAGUC
rnacentral:rRNA from 1 species